AUUGGGAUCGGAGGUGAAUUGGGUGGCCUUGUUGGUGCAAUUCGAGGUGGGGUUGCAGGAGGCGCUGUUGGGAUGCUCGGCAGUCAUGCUGGGAUACUCCAUAGCCAAAUGUCGCCGGAAACAGACAGG
rnacentral:ribozyme from 1 species